UACGAAUGGGGCGAGCGUUGUUCGGAAUCACUGGGCGUAAAGCGUGCGCAGGCGGUCAUGAAAGUCAGGAGUGAAAUCCCAGGGCUUAACCCUGGAAUGGCUCUUGAAACUCCAUGACUAGAGUACUGGAGAGGUUGGCGGAAUUCCGAGUGUAGAGGUGAAAUUCGCAGAUAUUCGGAGGAACACCAAUGGCGUAGGCAGCCAACUGGACAGUAACUGACGCUCAUGCACGAAAGCGUGGGGAUCAAACAGGAUUAGAUACCCUGGUAGUCCACGCCCUAAACGAUGUGUGCUAGUUGUCGGGCCCUUUAGGGUUCGGUGACGCAGCUAACGCUUUAAGCACACCGCCUGGGGAGUACGGUCGCAAGAUUAAA
rnacentral:rRNA from 1 species